GAGUAACGCGUGGGAACGUACCUUUUGGUUCGGAACAACACAGGGAAACUGGUGCUAAUACCGAAUAAGCCCUUACGGGGAAAGAUUUAUCGCCGAAAGAUCGGCCCGCGUCUGAUUAGCUAGUUGGUGAGGUAAUGGCUCACCAAGGCGACGAUCAGUAGCUGGUCUGAGAGGAUGAUCAGCCACAGUUGGGACUGAGACACGGCCCAAACUCCUACGGGAGGCAGCAGUGGGGAAUAUUGGACAA
rnacentral:rRNA from 1 species